GAUGAAGAACGUAGCGGAAUGCGAUAAGUAAUGUGAAUUGCAGAAUUCAGUGAAUCAUCGAAUCUUUGAACGCACCUUGCACCCUUUGGCAUUCUGAAGGGUAUGCUCGUUUGAGUGUCAUUGUACUCUCACACUCCCGAUCUUUGCAUUGGGAGCAGUGGACUUGGGUUUGCUGCUUCACCGUCGCUUACCUCAAAUAGGUUAGUGCAACUCUUGGUUGGACAUAGUACGGCGUGAUAAGUGUUCUUCGCCGGUGCCUCGCAAAGAGGGUGGCCGAUCGGGAUGUUGUGCUCCAAACCGUCUUCGGACAAUCUCUGACGACUUGACCUCAAAUCGAGUAAGACUACCCGCUGAACUUAAGCAUAUCAAUAAGCGGAGGA
rnacentral:misc_RNA from 1 species